rnacentral:rRNA from 1 species
GGAUGCGAGCGUUAUCCGGAUUUAUUGGGUUUAAAGGGUGCGUAGGCGGGCUUUUAAGUCAGCGGUAAAAAUUCGGGGCUCAACCCCGUCCGGCCGUUGAAACUGGGGGCCUUGAGUGGGCGAGAAGAAGGCGGAAUGCGUGGUGUAGCGGUGAAAUGCAUAGAUAUCACGCAGAACCCCGAUUGCGAAGGCAGCAUACCGGCGCUCAACUGACGCUCAUGCACGAAAGCGUGGGUAUCGAAC